AAGUCGUAACAAGGUCUCCGUUGGUGAACCAGCGGAGGGAUCAUUACAGAGUUAUAAACUCCCAAACCCAUGUGAACUUACUAUUGUUGCCUCGGCGGAAGCUACCCUGUAGCGCUCCGCCGGUGGAAUUUUAAACUCUUGUUAUUUUAUGGAUAUCUGAGCGUCUUAUUUUAAUAAGUCAAAACUUUCAACAACGGAUCUCUUGGUUCUG
rnacentral:misc_RNA from 1 species